GAGUUUGAUCCUGGCUCAGAUUGAACGCUGGCGGCAGGCCUAACACAUGCAAGUCGAGCGGUAGAGAGAAGCUUGCUUCUCUUGAGAGCGGCGGACGGGUGAGUAAUGCCUAGGAAUCUGCCUGGUAGUGGGGGAUAACGCUCGGAAACGGACGCUAAUACCGCAUACGUCCUACGGGAGAAAGCAGGGGACCUUCGGGCCUUGCGCUAUCAGAUGAGCCUAGGUCGGAUUAGCUAGUUGGUGAGGUAAUGGCUCACCAAGGCGACGAUCCGUAACUGGUCUGAGAGGAUGAUCAGUCACACUGGAACUGAGACACGGUCCAGACUCCUACGGGAGGCAGCAGUGGGGAAUAUUGGACAAUGGGCGAAAGCCUGAUCCAGCCAUGCCGCGUGUGUGAAGAAGGUCUUCGGAUUGUAAAGCACUUUAAGUUGGAGGAAGGGCAGUAAAUUAAUACUUUGCUGUUUUGACGUUACCGACAGAAUAAGCACCGGCUAACUCUAGUGCCAGCAG
rnacentral:rRNA from 1 species